rnacentral:rRNA from 1 species
UGGUGGAGUGAUUUGUCUGGUUAAUUCCGAUAACGAACGAGACUCUGUCCUGCUAACUAGGUUGUGUUUUCUCGGGUUGGUGUUUCUGGUGUUCCUUCUCGGGGCGCCGGCCCAAUCCACUUGUGAACACAACACUCUUCUUAGAGGGACUGGCGGCUGUUAGCCGCACGAGAUAGAGCAAUAACA